CCUACGGGAGGCAGCAGUGAGGAAUAUUGGUCAAUGGGCGGGAGCCUGAACCAGCAAAGUCGCGUGAGGGAAGACGGUCCUAUGGAUUGUAAACCUCUUUAUGCGGGGAGCAAUGCCGGGCGCGCGUGCCCGGAGGGAGAGUACCCGCAGAAUAAGCAUCGGCUAACUCCGUGCCAGCAGCCGCGGUAAUACGGAGGCUGCGAGCGUUAUCCGGAUUUAUUGGGGUUAACGGGUGCGUAGGCGGAUGUGUAAGUCAGCGGGAAAAUGUCGGGGCUCAACCCGGGCCGGCCGUUGAAACUGGGGAUCUUGAGUGGGCGAGAAGUAUGCGGAAUGCGUGGUGUAGCGGUGAAAUGCAUAGAUAUCACGAAGAACUCCGAUUGCGAAGGCAGCAUACCGGCGCCCGACUGACGCUGAGGCACGAAAGCGUGGGGAUCGAACAGGAUUAGAUACCCCAGUAGUC
rnacentral:rRNA from 1 species